rnacentral:rRNA from 1 species
GGGGGGGGGGGGGGGGGGGGGGGGGGGGGGGGGGGCGGGGGGGGGGGGGGGAACGGAGCCCUGCGGGGCGGGGGUAGAGGGGAUUAGCGGCGGACGGGGGAGUAGCACGUGAGUAACCUGCCGUCGACAUUGGGAUAGCCUCGGGAAACCGGGAGUAAUACCAACUAAAAUCAUAAGUACACAUGUCAUAACGAUCAAAACUCCGGUGGUCUAAGAUGGACUCGCGUCCCAUUAGCUCGUUGGUAGAGUAAAAGCCUACCAAGGCGACGAUGGGUAGCCGGCCUGAGAGGGUGAACGGCCACAUUGGAACUGAGACACGGUCCAAACUCCUACGGGAGGCAGCAGUGGGGAAUAUUGCACAAUGGAGGGAACUCUGAUGCAGCGACGCCGCGUGAACGAAGAAGGCUUUCGAGUCGUAAAGUUCUUUUAUAUGGGAAGAUAAUGACGGUACCAUAAGAAAAAGCCCCGGCUAACUACGUG